UAUGGUUAGCUCAGUGGUAGAGCAUUUGCCUAGCAUGUGUGAGGCACUGGGUUUGAUCCCCAGCACCACAU
rnacentral:tRNA from 1 species